CGAGCGCACCCUUGUCCUUAGUUGCCAGCCUUAAGUUGGGCACUCUAAGGAGACUGCCGGUGACAAACCGGAGGAAGGGGGGGACGACGUCAAGUCAUCAUGGCCCUUACGUGUAGGGCUACACACGUGCUACAAUGGCAUUUACAGAGGGAAGCGAGACAGUGAUGUGGAGCGGACCCCUUAAAGAAUGUCGUAGUCCGGAUUGGAGUCUGCAACUCGACUCCAUGAAGUCGGAAUCGCUAGUAAUCGCAGGUCAGAAUACUGCGGUGAAUACGUUCCCGGGCCUU
rnacentral:rRNA from 1 species